GAAAAACUAAGGCACAGAGAGGUACAAUAAUUUGGUCAGUCACAGAGCUUCUAAGUGGCAGAGCCCAAAUAGAAACAUGGAAGCCAGGUACAGAGUCUGAGCACUUGGGGGCUCUUCACACAGUCUGAGGGUCACAGCUAUAGGCUAGCCAAGUCCUGAGCCCAUGGAGGGAUGCAUCUCCCAUCUUUGCCCCUUAGAAAGCCCUUCCCUUCUACUGAAAAAAUGUAAACCCUGCUGCCACGAUCACAACCAGCCUGGUAAGUUCUCUAAACAAAAGUCCAAGGGAAGCUAUAGCCAUUGGUGGGCCCUGAUGGUCCAGCCACAAGACCACUCUUUUGCUCUUGCUGUCCUGAGAUUCUGGUCCUCCAACAUGGGUGUCCUUGGAGGCCUCCUACCUGUCAUUGUCUCCCCCUCUCAGCUCUCAGAUACACCCCAGCCUCCCCUCCCCCAAGAAAGUGCAGUGUGACCAGUGGGGCCUAUCACAGCCCCAGAGUUUCAUGCCCCCUGCUGCUCUCCGUUUUCUCUGGGAUGUACCAGGGCCUGGCACACACCCCUAGGAUAAUGUCAGUGGUCAUUCACGAUGACUUUUUCAGGAUCUGGCUCUGUUGUGCUAGCUCCUGGUCUUACCCAGAGCGGGUCAUUUGGUAAAGAAAGGAGAAACUUCCACAGGCCUCUCCCACACAUCUCCCGAAAUCACUCCCUUAGCAGUGAUCUCACUCUUUCUUGGAGAAGGGGGUCUAGCCUGCCCCAUCUGCACACUGCCCAUUCAUGGCCAGGUCAUAGCCCCAGCCCAUGCUAAGGCAGGCUGGCUGUCACUCCUGUGAGUAGAGGGAUCCACUCUGCAGGCACACAUUCAGCAAGCUUCUAUGCUCUCUCAGUCCUCCACAGGAAGAGGACUGAAGACCCACGGGUCUUGCUGUCCCAAGGCUGCUGAGUGAAUAGAGAGCUACGGCUGGUCUCUGCCACGGUACUUGUUUCUAACAUGCUGAUGAUCUGAACCUGAUAGUCUUCUAAAAACGGUUUACAGUGGUUUAACUCUGCUGCGAAGGUUGUGGUUUUUUGAAAUCCCAUCACUCUGUGUCACGAUUUUGCUGAAUUCUCUACUUCUCCUAAUUCUUUCCCAAUACAGAUUUCCCCAGGCUGUAGUUAUAGGCAGUCGUGAGCCAUCAGACAUGGGUGCUGGAAACCAAACUAAAGCCAGCAACAGCAGCUUUCAGCUGUUAUCUUAACUGUGUGCAUUGUUAUACAUGAUAGGGGCUUUACUGUGUGCAUUGCUAUACAUGAUAGGGGCUUUUCUUCCUGGUCUCAUGAAUGGCUGUGCCAGCAAACAGGAGUUAUUCAACCACCUGCUGGGUUAGAAUGAUGAAAAUUAUUUAAUGUGCUUAUUGUAUAGUGAUUUUUUUUUCCCCUCUCAAGCCCUUUGACUGGGGACCGAGGACCAGCAGUAACUGGCAAAGUCCAGUGGGCAUGAACUCACCUGGGGAUCUUUUUCUCACUUAACAUCACCUUUCCUGUUGCAUGUUCAUCCCUUCUUCCUAGUGGCAACAUCUUUCUGGCCUCCACAGUGCGAGGCCAACAUUCCAGGGUGGGGUGUAGUGGGAUGCGUAACCUGACUAAGCCAGCUGCGGAAGACCUCCCAGGGAGUCCUCAGGUCUUCUUUGUUCCCAACAUUCCUUGUGAAGCUCUGCAGCUCAAGGUCACACAUUCAUCUUGAAGCUGACCGAGAGUGCGGUAAGUGAAGCUGCCUUGAUCCAGUUUUGAAGAAGGAUUCUGCCCUCCUGGAUCUACGUACCCUAAGUGCUGGGCUUUGUGAUCCAAAGCGGGGCUACCUUCUUGGCUCUAUCCUCCAUAUUCUCAAGCAAGUCGCUUAACUCCCUCCUGUGGCUGGACUCUCAGGUCACCAUUAUUGGAGCUGUGGCUGUCUUCUAGGUGCUGUCCUCUUGGUCCCUCCCUGGAUGCACCCAACUUGUUUUGUUUGUUGAUUUUUGCCUCGACUAGACCCAAGUCCUCUCCACGGCUGGCAUAGCCUCCUUCCAAACCCAUGAUGGCUGUAGUUCCAGGCCCAGGUGUUCUCCACAGCUGGCAUAAUUUCUCCCUAAGUUCAUGUGGCGAGCUUAGGAGUCUGCACCAGCCUCAAAUUCCAUUCUUCCUCCAGCCAUGCUAGGGUGGGUCUUACCUGCAGUAUGUAGACAGACAGACAGACAUGCACACACAUGCAUGCAAAAGAGACAGAGACAGACAGACAGACAGGCAGGCAGACAGACAGAAAACAGAGAGACAGACAGACAGAAACAGACACACAAAAGACACACAGAAAGGAGAGAGCUCUUCCUGACAACAGGCUUCCUCAGUCCUCUCAGAAUGCCUACCUUCCCCUCCUGUCCUUGUGUCAACCCUAGAAGUCCUCAUGAGGAGGCCUGAGGAUCCUUGCCUACUUCCUAGAUUUCCCACAAACACCUGGAUCAGCUCCUGACCUCUCUGCAGCAGGUGUCCUUUCUGUGCCCUGUCCCCUGGCUCUGGAUCUAGGUGGGCCCCUCUCUUCUCAGACCUUUGUUCCUCAGUCUUUCCUCAGUGCCUGCAAUCUCUUUUCCCUUUAUCUGUGGUGUCCUCCAUUCCUGGAAGGGCCUUGGGCUACCCAUCCCACCUUCCCCUCCUUCAGCAUCUUUGCCACGGUCCUACCCCCUUAGUGUGGGGCCCUGACUUUCUCACUUCUGAAGGGACCGGUGCCCUGCUUUGCCAUUAUUAGAUCCUCACUGCCUUGCUUGGGUCGACUUCCUACCAGGUGACUUGUGAGACUUCAGGACAGGGACCAACCAAGUGCACACAAGAGCAGAAAGCAGGAGGCCAUUGCAGAACACUCAGCUGGGUGGAUCCAAUGAGCACCUGCCUCUCCUGGCCUCUCAAGCACACAAGGUAGCCUCCAAGCUGAUGCUCUAGCUCCUGUGACUGUCAAGCCUCACAUUUAUCCUCUGCAUCCUAGGGGAGCCCACCCCUUAGACGGUGAGUUAGAGUCUGCUACUCCUGUUAGCUCCCGGUGAGCACGGGUCAUGUUACCUAAUCCUGCCUUCAUAGCUACUGUGCUGUAUAUUGCCUUUAAAACCAAGCUGGCGAGAAGCCGUGGGCCUCGUGUCCUUCAUGUAGGAGUGAAGACUGAGGCUGGAAGAGGCUGACUAUGGGAUCUGCUUCACUGGACUGAUUGGAGGCAGGGUUGGAACUCAAGCUGCAAUCUGGCCUAUUCCAAAGUCCAAGCCGCUGUCCACACUGACAUUGCCUCCCUUCUAGAACAUUCCUGGGUGACAUGUUUAUUUGUUCCUUGCACAAAUAUUUGCUGAGCACCAGUUAUGUACAUAUCAUGACUCUUGUUUGCACAGGAGGAACUCUGAGAUACCAGCCCAUCCUUGCAGCUCAGAACAGACAAAGAGAAACGCACGUACCCUGCUGAGGACAUGGGACCAUCAUCUCAUAGGCGGUAUGCAGGAUACACCACAGUUUCUACUUAUAGCCUAAAAAGGGCUAUAGUGUCAUAAUAGUCUAUUUCUACUUCUCAUAAACUUUACAACAACACAAUAUAUUGUCAUGUUAACUGUGCAUGAAACAUGUCUGAUACAUCUCAGAUCCUUUCUCAUUUCAUAUCCCACGAGCUCAGCUGCCACCUGUUGCUCAAUGACUCGCAGAGAACUGCCAGACUUUCUACCCUGUGACAGUUGAUAUUGCUUGCUGACUUCACAGAAUGUGGAAUUUCCCAGGAGGCAAAGCUUCAGGCCCUCAUGGGAGGAGUCACCUGGACUACCUCAGCUUCCUGUGAGGAAUCGUAUGAGGAUGGAUUCAUUGAGAUGGUACCUAGGAAGGUACCAGUCUCUGGGCUGCUGUCGUGGACUGCGUACACAGUCAAAGCAGGCUAAGCAUCACCAGUCACUGCUGCUUCCUGACCGUGGAUGCAAUGCAUCCGCUGCCUCGUGCUCCCUGCCAUGGUAACUCCCCUAUCACCACACACCAUAAACCUGAAAUAUGAGUGAACCAAACAAAUAACCAGCCAACCAACCAACCAAACCUCAAAGUCCUUUCCUCCUUAGGCUGCUUUUCAGCAGCACCAUCCUGGCUCAAUGACGUCUACUCAAGAUUACUUAAGGUUAAUAGUGCCUCAGGACUUUAGCACAGCUCCUGCCUCGCCCCCUUUACCCCAUCUCUUUAGGAAGACAUUCCAUUCUACAAUCUCACCAGCAGGGAGGGAGAGACAACACUCACAUAACUUUAAGCUGCUUCCGUCGGGCAUUUUGUCACAGAAAUAGAAAUAAUAAUGAACUGACCAGGGAUCUCUUGACCGAGGCUAGUCCUGUGACUUUCAUUACAACCUGUUGUAACAACGGCUCCAUUCUACUGUCACCGUGGUGAGUCACCUGUGCCUGAUUUAGGAAUUAAACUUCAUCGUGGCUAUAAACACCAGCCUCUAUAGACUAAACUUACAUCAAGCGGUACAAUGGAACGAGUGGCUUUCCUUGAGAGAUAUUACUUCCACGGCCUUUGGGCAUAGAAGAUUUCCCAUAUAUAGCUGUGGCCAACGACUACUAUUGUUCAAGUCCAGCUAGCAGGGACGGAAGUUGGACUGUGUGAUCCAAAGUUGCAGCCCAAGUUGCCUAUCUACAAUAAGAUUCCCAAGUGCCUCAGAGACACUGAGGACGGUGAACAUGGUGUGCAUUCUCCAAAUCUCCCAAGGUAGGGUCUGUCCACUGCCUUCCCAAUCCAGACCCUUUGCCAGCCCAAGUUAAAGACGCAAGAUCUCUCAACAGUGGACCUAGUUCAAGGAAAACCUCGACGAGAAGGAAUAGAAAGCUCCCAGCAGGUUUCUGCAUUAACCAGCCUGUGGUUUCAACAAAGCCUGCUGUUGAAGGAUAUAUGUCUGGCGAGGUUCUAAAAGCUGUGGAAAGGACAGCUCUCAGCAAUGCUCUGUGCCAGUCAGCCCCCCAAGCCCCUCACAGGUCCACCCCAGCUGUCAGCAUGUCUCCAAAAUCCUGUGUGUGCAGGGAAGCAAAGCAGACCCUGCCACAGCUGUGGAAUUUGGAAGCUGCAUACGUGCCAAAGCCCUUUCACAAUUACACGAGUAAACAAAUCAACCCAAAAUGUCAUGUUUUACAGGAUGGAUGAGCAACAUCAAUCUAAACUCGCAAAUACCUCACUUUCAAUGAGUACUAAUCUGGCUGCCUAUCCUCAUUGAUGCCCUUAGUGAGACUGGAAGCAUCACUGAAGAUGAUGUAGGGAGUAAUCUUUGUAAUUUAACCUACAGAUGAGUGUUAUCCUGAAUGGUGCUGAGCCAAAGCCCAACUCUGGCCUUGUGGGGAAGCUAUACCCGCUGUGUUCACAGGGGUCGCCCUUGCUCAGACACAGUGUCGCUGGAUGGUUGAUUUCACCACUCUCUUGAUGGAGCUUGCCUUCUUUCUGGAAAACAUGUUCACAGGAAGAAGAGAAAGGAAAACAGAAGGAACUUGGAAGUGUGAGCUUAUGGCAUUACCAGGCUUGCAGUUGCUACAUAAAGACACCAGAGUGACCUCAGGACCAGGCAUCCAGGGUAUUGGCUAAGCUUACUUUCUAGAACCCUGGAGAGGGUGUGAGUGCUAGGAAGAACCUGGCUCUGUCCUCAGUGAAAAUCAUUGACAAGCUUAGUGGUUGCUAUGGCAACAGAUUCCCUUGCUGAGCCUCUGAUGCCUGAUAGCACAGCCAUUGGAUGUAGGAGCUUAAGGUCACUGGAUAAGACACCUGAUGCCAGGUCAAUUUGAAUUUCAGAUAAACCAUAUGUUCUGUGUUGUGUAUAGCAGACCAUGAAAGUUAUCCCAUUUUGGGGGGUUCAUGCUUAUACUAAAAGCUGGUCUAAAAUUCAAAAUGUCCUGACAAUAAAAUACUAAACCCGAA